UGAACAAGAACCAGAAACAUAGAGUGGGCUGCUUUGUCAAUUCUCUUUCCCUGCAUAGAGCGAUAGGACAACAGGAAGAGAAGGAGCUGUGGCAUCAGGAAGAAAGAAAGAUAGGACAUUGGUUGUUCAUCUUAAAGAUUUCCAGACUUGCUUGCUUGCAAAACUUCCACUCCAGAAGAACCCAGCCAUUCUAGCUUCUCUGGUUUGCUCCUAGCCUGUAGCUGGAGAACAACCACAUAACCUGGCAGACUGGUUUUAUUUUCGCUUCAAGUUCUCAACACUCAGAAGAGGCCCUGGACACUCCACAGCAUCUUUGUAUGCUGAAAGGUAGCACUGUGCCUAGCAGUAUGUAUGUAUGAAUGAAAACUUCCUGAACUGGUGAAGGAAUAUAUAUGCACCCAGCCCUGUGAUCAACCAUUCCUGGUUAAGACCCAGAUUUUUUUUUUAAUCCAACAGAAGUCUCUCCUUGGAGAUCCUGUUGGGAAAGAGCUUCUAUCCACUUCCCUUUGGUGCUGUCCCUAUCUAAUCAAGUUUUAUUCAAACAAACUCUUAAAAUUUUUGACAUGCCUCAGUUUACCUUUUAAAAAUGUAAUAACAAUUCUGUAAAAUUUACAUGUGAAUGUAUGUAUAGAAAAAUGCCUAGAAGUAAAAACAGAUAUAUAUUCAUGAA